rnacentral:lncRNA from 1 species
AGUGAUGUUUCACUAUGUUUGAUGGAUAGUCGUUAAGAAUCUUCGCCGCAGAGGAAGAUUGUUGUGCUCGUCGGAAGCUCUGCGUGUAAACAAUGUAUAGCGAGAAAGGAAAACUUUUAUUAUUGCUAAUUAUAAGAAACUUACAAGUGAAAGGUACUGGAACUUAUGGAUAAAAACAGCGCAGUUUGUCUAUGUGCCAAGAAUUAGGCACGCGUGUUGUUGGGUAUUUUAAACGCAAACAGAAAAAUCCGCAAGCGCACGGAUACCGAUGUAGCUUUCACCCGGGAGUAUUCCAGAGUAUCGAUUUUCCACAGAGAACGUGAGUGUACUAAUUAAGAAUCAAGAUCGCCCAAGGAUAACUAUAUAAUUGUUUUUGGUGGGAAGAGAGGAAGUUUCCUGAGAGUUCUCUAGUUGAUCUAAGAACCAAGAAUUACUUCAAGCUUAUCUAUUUCGGGACAUCAGAACACUAACCACAGAAAGAGAUGAGAAGGGGGCUAGGAAGCUCCGACUACGGUCCUACAAACACCGAUCCGAAUGAGGUGGAAUACGUCGACCGUUAGGGCUGUCACUACCCUAGGGCUAACACAACAAUCCGCAGGAUUGGGUGCAAUUCCAGGUAAUUGCAAGACUAAACACCACGUCUAAUCUAUUAAUUACUACUCUAAUGUUUCAAAGAUUAGAGCACUUGAUGCAAGC